GGAUGUCCCGUGUGCUGCGACUGAGCCCUUCCAGACAGUGACUCUUCCAGUGCAACAUGUGGAGUGCUGAUGUCACAGCCACCUUAUCCCUCCUCUAGCAUCUAAUUUAGAGUACCUUGCAGCUCCAACACAGAAACAUUGCACUUCCCACUCCUGUAUUGACAGAAAGUCUUAGGGUAUCAAAAUGCCAGCAGAAUAUUCAGCAGCUAAUAGGUGCAAGGAUGAGCAAAAUAAAAUAACUAGGAUCAGUGGGAGCAAGCUAACCUUAUUCUGUCAGGAAAGACGAUGUUACAAAGCAGAGCAGAUUGCCAAGAGAGCAAAUGAAGGGAUGGCACCAUAAGCAGCUGUCAAACUUGGAUUCUUGGAGAAGAACAGUCUGACCACCAGCAAAGCCGACAGAAAUACUUGGCUUUGAGUUAUUUUCUCAAGCACCACGGGGAACAGAAAGAGGGAGGGGCUAGUAGUGAAGAAGAUUAUUUUACUCCCUGUUUAGUUUUGUGUACAUGGACAACUUUAAUUUGGAGUUGUUUUUAAUGCACAUAACAUAAAGAAGUCUAAUAUGAUAAAUAUGAAUCAGAUAUUUCCCAAAUGCUGAAAUGAUAUUGUUCAAUUUGAGAAGAACACAGCAUCAUGACAAAGUUGUAACUACCUUUUGUGGUUUGAAUGAACAGUUACCUCAAAAGGAGAGUUAUUCCCAUGCCACAUUAAGUCAUGGGUAUACAAAGACUCAAGCAGCCUGCUCAUUAUGGAAAUUUUGCUACUUGGCUUAGGACUGCCUUCCUAAUUUAUUUCUGUGAGCUUCACCUAUAUGAUUUGUUAAUUCCUUUCAGCUUUUACCUUUGAUAUCUGUUUUGUAUUUCCAAAGGGUCUCAAGAGAUCAGUGUGGUCUCAUGGUUGCUGUUGUGGGUCUCAGGCACACUUAAGUACAGACAGAAGAGAUGCUUUCAAUGAUCCUUCUAACAGCAAUAUAAGUUGUUUCAAUGCUGGUAUGAUACCAAGCAUGUGGAGUGGCAACUUUCCAGUUUUUGAAUGAGCUGGCAGCUAGUAUAGCUCCUUAAUAGAACAACAACAUAUUUUUCUUUCAGAUUUGCUGUUUCUAAAUGUCACUCUUGUAGUGUUGAUUUAUAGAGAUCUUUUCUUGUCAGACACAACCAGAGCAGUAGAUAUAUAUGAAAUAGAUAUUAUAUACUCUAAAAUUUGUGCUUCUCCCCUAGAUUGAAUCAAAAGUUAUGGGAAAACCUUGUAAAAUUUGUCUCCUUUUAGGCCAUUUUAUAAAGUAAAUCAAAUGGCUGGAU